AGCCCGGCUGAUGGGCGAAUGACUCAGAGAAACUUUAAGCAUCUGAGGUGGGCUUGUUUCCAACAAUUGGUAAAUGUUUGUGUGGUAAACUUGGAACAUGGAUGUUUGUGUGAUGGUUCAGAACGUACGUAGUAUAAAAAUCCAAAAAUUGACCAUGACUACCCUUUUUCUCUGAAACUACUGCAUAUAAAAUUUUGAACAAAAUACAGAAAUUAGCUUUUAACUCAAAAAUUUCCGGAAAAUUAUAAAAUUCAGAAAUUUUUAACUAUGAAAGUCACUUUUUGGGGGCAAGAUGGAAAACACAAAAAAAAGUUUUCAAACUGCAUCAUGCGACACAUCAAAUUAAAGGUCUUGAUGUAAGGAUUUUAAAAAUAUUGUUUUUGUUAUAAAUAGUUUCCAAGUUAUUCAAGAAAAUAUACCAGGAGAAAGGGGGGGGGGGGGUCUUUUCUCCGAAACUACUAAACUUAAAAUUAUAAUUUUAAUUCAAUUAAAAAAAAACAACACAGAAGUUAGCUUUCUACGUGAAGAUUUGAACGUUGAAAUACAGAAUGUUUUUGUCAUUUUUUUACGCGCGAAGAACCGGAAAACCUCAAAAAUAUACAAUUUUAUAAUAUGAAGGCCACUUCUGGGGGGUAAGAUGGAAUACACAAGAAAAAGUUUUUUUAACUACAUCAUGUGACACAUCGAAUCAGAGGCAUCGGUGAGAGGAUUCUAAAAACAUACGCCAACGUAGAGCCCUGUUGAGUCUCCUGUGGACUCUUGGGGACCCCCUGGACCACUUUGGAAAUCAAUGCUCUAGAAGUCUAGAGCCAAGGUAUCCGUCGGUCACACGUGGUACACGCCAUUUCUAUUGCCUUGUUAUUCCGAUUUCUAUGGUGUGAACGCUGUGUCAGUUAAAACGAGAUAAGUCAGCUAAUGUACUCUGUAUCAGACAUGUUUUUUCAUAUUUCGGCACAGAUUUAAAUAAAUCUGUGGUGUGAUGUAACUAUUCUUUGUAUUUCGGUAUUAUGUCCAGGAAAACAUGAAAAAAAAAUUAUACGUUGACAAGUUAUUUAAAUGGUCUAAGGUUGACAAUAAUUGUGGAUCUGA